rnacentral:rRNA from 1 species
AGCCGUAAACGAUGAGUACUAGGUGUCUGCCUCUUGUAGGUAGGUGCCGCAGCUAACGCAUUAAGUACUCCACCUGGGGACUACGGCCGCAAGGCUAAAACUCAAAGGAAUUGACGGGGACCCGCACAAGCGGUGGAACAUGUGGUUUAAUUCGAUGAUACGCGAAGAACCUCACCAAGGCUUGACAUGCUCAUCAUAUUCUCCCCAAAAGGAGAAGUCAUUUAGUUGGAUGAUGCACAGGUGCUGCAUGGCUGUCGUCAGCUCGUGUCGUGAGAUGUUGGGUUAAGUCCCGCAACGAGCGCAACCAUUGCCUUAUGUUGCUACCAAACGAUUCUUCGGAAUUUGUUUGCGCACUCUUAAGGGACUGCCUGGGAUAACCAGGAGGAAGGUGGAGAUGACGUCAAGUCAGUACGGCCCUUAUGCCUUGGGCUACACACGUGUUACAAUGGUGGAUACAAAGGGUUGCCAACCCGCGAGGGGGAGCCAAUCUCAAAAAAUCCAUCUCAGUUCGGAUUGGAGUCUGCAAUUCGACUCCAUGAAGCUGGAAUCGCUAGUAAUGGAAGAUCAGCUCGCUUCCGUGAAUACGUUCCCGGGUCUUGUACACACCGCCCGUCAAGCGAUGAAAGCUGGGGGUACCCGAAGUCCUAUGUAGAUAGGCCGAAGGUAAAACCGGUGAUUGGCGCUAAGUCGUAACAAGGUA